GACCCUAAAAAGUCCUUUAAACACAAAGGUUUGGUCCUGACCUUGAGAUCAAUUAUUACUUAAUAUACACAUGCAAGUCUCCGCACCCCUGUGAAAACGCCCUUAAAUCCCCGCUAGGGAUAAGGAGCUGGUAUCAGGCACACAUGCCCAAGACACCUAGCUAUGCCACACCCACAAGGGACCUCAGCAGUGAUUAACAUUGAAUAUAAGCGACAGCUUGAUUCAGUUAAAGUAAAGCAGAGCCGGCAAAUCUGGUGCCAGCCGCCGCGGUUACACCACGUGGCUCAAAUUGAUAUCUAUCGGCGUAAAGCGUGAUUAAAGUCCAACCAUUAUUUGAGUUAAACUAAAACUAAGCUGUGACACGCUUGUGCUUAAGAAACCCAUAAACGAAAGUUACUCCAACUUAAACAACUUGAACUCACGACAGCUAAGAAACAAACUGGGAUUAGAUACCCCACUAUGCUUAGUCGUAAACUUUAAAUUACACCCGAAUCGCCAGGGAACUACGAGCAAAGCUUAAAACCCAAAGGACUUGACGGUACCCCACAUCCAC
rnacentral:rRNA from 1 species